UGUAAAUUUGCUCAGUUUGGUAGAUGAAUUAGCUCUUUUUAGCCACAAAGGUCCACUUAAUAAAUUAUGCUCCAGUGCACUAAAUGGUACCUCUGAAGAGCACACUUCUGAACUCCAG